UACGGAGGGUGCGAGCGUUGUCCGGAAUCAUUGGGCGUAAAGGGCGCGUAGGUGGCCCGGUCAGCGUGCGGUGAAAGCUCGGGGACUCAACCCCGAGUCGGCCGUGCGAACUGCUGGGCUUGAGCACUGUAGAGGCAGGCGGAAUUCCGGGUGUAGCGGUGGAAUGCGUAGAGAUCCGGAAGAACACCCGUGGCGAAGGCGGGUUCUCUGGG
rnacentral:rRNA from 1 species